rnacentral:rRNA from 1 species
GCGUAGGGUCCGAGCGUUGUCCGGAGUUACUGGGCGUAAAGGGCGCGUAGGCGCUUUGUGCGUCGACCCGUGAAAGCCCCCGGCUCCAACCGGGGAGGGUCGGGGCUGAAACGGCGGAGCUGGAGGCAGCGAGAGGCUGGUGGAAUUCCGGAGUAGUGGUGAAAUGCGUAGAGAUCGGGAGGACACCGGUGGCGAAGGCGGGUCGCUGGGCCGA